rnacentral:rRNA from 1 species
CGAGCGAAGCGUAUUAGCGGAAGUUUUCGGAUGGAAGCGGAUAUGACUUAGCGGCGGACGGGUGAGUAACGCGUGGAUAACCUGCCUCAUACAGGGGGAUAACAGCUAGAAAUGACUGCUAAUACCGCAUAAGCGCACAGGACCGCAUGGUCCGGUGUGAAAAACUCCGGUGGUAUGAGAUGGAUCCGCGUCUGAUUAGCUGGUUGGUGAGGUAACGGCCCACCAAGGCGACGAUCAGUAGCCGACCUGAGAGGGUGGCCGGCCACAUUGGGACUGAGACACGGCCCAAACUCCUACGGGAGGCAGCAGUGGGGAAUAUUGCACAAUGGGGGAAACCCUGAUGCAGCAACGCCGCGUGAGUGAAGAAGUAUUUCGGUAUGUAAAGCUCUAUCAGCAGGGAAGAAGAAAGACGGUACCUGACUAAGAAGCCCCGGCUAACUACGUGCCAGCAGCCGCGGUAAUACGUAGGGGGCAAGCGUUAUCCGGAUUUACUGGGUGUAAAGGGAGCGUAGACGGCUGUGCAAGUCUGAAGUGAAAGCCCGUGGCUCAACCGCGGAACUGCUUUGGAAACUGUAUAGCUUGAGUACUGGAGAGGCAGGCGGAAUUCCUAGUGUAGCGGUGAAAUGCGUAGAUAUUAGGAGGAACACCAGUGGCGAAGGCGGCCUGCUGGACAGAAACUGACGUUGAGGCUCGAAAGCGUGGG